UGAAUUUUAAUGCCUGCAGUUUGGUUCUUGUCCUCGUCUUACGUCAGUCUUUUCCACAUACGCUCUCACUCUAUGAGGACUGUCUGGUCAGAACUAACAGUGACUACGUUUACGUGGACAUCGGUUCUCGAAUGAAUUACCUUUAUUCUGAAUGAGACAAUAUUACGAUUAAGGUGCGUACACGUGUUGCUUUCACGUUCCUGUUUUACAUCUUGUAGUACAUAGAUCGACCACAUGACGCCAUCCGACGUGUCCUUCAGACCUUCGUGAAUAGCAUACAGUUUUGGAUGUUUCAUUUUUGAUUUACUAAAAGAUACACAAAGUGCUACAUGACGAUAAUAGUGUAAUGACAAAUCUGUCUACAUAAUAAAUUCUUAAUAGUACAGUAUUGUCUUAAUCGUGUUAUAAUCAGAAUCUAUUGCUGUUCAUGUAAAUGUACUACUCGGCAUCCACAGUCCUGACCACUGGGUAAACCUGUGUGGCCCCUGGGCUCCGGACUUAGUACUUGGUGUGGUGCUGAUGAAGUAGCAAGAAAAACAGAAGAUAAGCUCUUCUUCCUCUUUUUUGCGACUGGAUUCUUUUUACACACAUUUACACUGUGCUGUUUCUGUGUGUGUGUGUGUGUGUGUGUGUGUGUGUGUGUGUGUGUGUGUGUGUGUGUGUGUGUGUGUGU